UACAGAGGUCUCAAGCGUUGUUCGGAUUCAUUGGGCGUAAAGGGUGCGUAGGCGGCGCGGUAAGUCGGGUGUGAAAUCUUGGAGCUUAACCCCGGAACUGCAUUCGAUACUGCAGUGCUUGAGGACUGGAGAGGAGACUGGAAUUCAUGGUGUAGCAGUGAAAUGCGUAGAGAUCAUGAGGAAGACCAGUGGCGAAGGCGGGUCCUGCUCGGACAGUCCUGACACUGAGGCAGCGAAGGACCAGGGGAGUCAAAACCGGG
rnacentral:rRNA from 1 species